ACAACUUUCAACAACGGAUCUNUUGGCUCUCGCAUCGAUGAAGAACGCAGCGAAAUGCGAUAAGUAGUGUGAAUUGCAGAAUUCAGUGAAUCAUCGAAUCUUUGAACGCACCUUGCGCUCCUUGGUAUUCCGAGGAGCAUGCCUGUUUGAGUGUCAUUAAUAUAU
rnacentral:rRNA from 1 species